rfam:Salmo salar isolate Sally breed double haploid chromosome ssa23, whole genome shotgun sequence.
UGUAUGCAAGCAUGACUAAGUCGCUUUGGAUAAAAGAGUCUACUAAAUGGCUUAUA